rnacentral:rRNA from 1 species
GGAGGGGGCUAGCGUUGUUCAGAAUUACUGGGCGUAAAGGGCGCGUAGGCGGCCUGCCAAGUUAGGGGUGAAAGGCCCGGGCUCAACCCGGGAACUGCCCUUGAAACUGGCAAGCUAGAGUCCGAGAGAGGAUGGCGGAAUUCCCAGUGUAGAGGUGAAAUUCGUAGAUAUUGGGAAGAACACCGGUGGCGAAGGCGGCCAUCUGGCUCGGUACUGACGCUGAGGCGCGAAAGCGUGGGGAGCAAACAGGAUUAGAUACCCUGGUAGUCCACGCCGUAAACGAUGUGUGCUAGACGUUGGGGGUCUUAGGCCUUCGGUGUCGCAGCUAACGCGUUAAGCACACCGCCUGGGGAGUACGGCCGCAAGGUUA